GUUUGAACUCUGGGGCACGCUGUAAGAUGGUAAAGGUGUCUUCUGAAGGCAAGAGGCUGGAGCUGUGGCUGUGCUGGUGUGUCAGCGUGGAGAAUGCCUGGGCUCAAACACUUGAAAUGCUUCUUGAGGGACAAGGGGAAGGAAAUAUCUCUCAGAUCAUGUAUUUACCAUCUUUUAGUGUUUUUGUAUCUGAGUAAAAGAAUAUUCAGAGUAUUGGAUACAAAGGAACUUGUCUUUGUUCCUCCACUGCCUUUCAAUCCUACUUGCUCUGCAUCCUGUUAUUAUUUUGUUAUCUAAGUCUUCAACAUGUUUAAAGUCUGAGCUUGUUACUAAGCACAGAGCAGUCUAAAGAAUUAUUCCUUUCCCAGGGAAUUUGAAAGUUUUAAACUUGUUUUUGUUCCAAAUCAUUCAGCAGGAAUGUGGAAGCAUUACUGUAAUACAGGAGCACUGGAGGACAGAUGCUUCAAGGCAGAUGUGGCAUUAUGUGCCUGGAAUGAUCAAUUAAAAAACCAACAGACUGCUUUGUGAGUCUGAGCCUUGUUAGAUUCCUUUGAAAAUGCAUGUUGUAAAAACACCAUAGGAAAAAAAAUCAGAAAAUUAAUAUAAAAACCCAGAAAAAACUACAAAGUUUGGUGGAAAGAUUCAAAAGUUGUACAUAAGAAGCUGUCAUUUGUACUAAAUAGGAGAUGAUUUACACUAAGACAGGAUAACAAUAUCUCAGGGAUACAACAGGAAGCAGUGGUCUCUGGUAUUUCUGUAUAACCAGAAGCAGUUAAGAAUGUAAGAAACCUAGGAAAUGCCUCUUGUCAUCUGGAAAUUUUCCAUAAAUGGAAACAAACUAGAAAGUGACCCAUGCUCUGUGCCUAUAGAGCCUGUAUGAGGGGAAGUGCUCUGUUUCACUUUGUCCCUGCAGAAUACUGUUCCACAAGAAUUGCUGCCAGACACAGGCACUUCCACUUUCUAAAUAAAACCUGGGUGCACACUUGCCAUGGAUGAUGGACUCAGCAGAAAUGACAGUACCUAAAAUAGUAUGAAAGCAGUGGCAGGCAAAAGAAGAGAAAGAUUCUUAGGAAGGAGAUUAAGAUGUAACUAAGAAUAAGAUGAUGGCAGAAUAAAUAAAUGUCUUCCUCACCUUCAGGGACCUGCAUAAAAGCAGCAGGUUCUGGAGUGUCUUUGUGAAUGUAAAAAGAUAUAUCGAGUUAAAUUUCAUGGCAUCCAGCAAGCAGUGGACCUUCCUUCCAGGAAAGGCAGAAAGAAACGAGGAGAGAGUGCUGAAGAGAUGGGAGGGAUGAUUCUUUGUUUAAUCAAGUGUACUGUUAGCACUCCAGUACUCCUUGUGACUGCUGUGUUUACAAGAUUUGCUGGAUACAGGCAGAAGGGGGAUUGGGGAGAAGUGCAGUUCUGGGUGUUGGAAUUGGCCUGUAAAGGAACAAUCACUGCAGGAGGAACUCACAUGGGAGCUUUCCAUCUCAUGGGCUGCACAGCUGCUGUGCCAGGUCAGACAUUUCAGUGGGAAUGGAGAAGCAGAAGUACAGAACUUCCAUCCACAAUACAAAUAUUCCAUGUGAGACAUGUGCACAGCCUGUUAAUUUCAAUGCUUCAUCUCUUUUCCCACUCUAGGAGCACAAAGCUAGUUCCAUCAUGCUCUCUAGAUUAAAAAAUUCUCCCCAUCCCCUUCUGGAAAGCUUUCCUGAGACCUUUCCCACCAGAAGCCCUAAGAGCCCCAUAUCUCUGUCACUGUGAUUACCCAAGAGCACUGCACUCCUUCUGGGGUAGGUGUGGUGACUUCCCAGGCUUUUCCCUCUGGGCUGGUGUGUUCCCACACCCUCUUCCUUAACAGAGCAGGGUGGUAUUUCGCUUUUUGUCUCUGUUACAUCUUCUGUAUGCACACGUAUUUUGAAAACAUUUUCAGAGAGGUGGUGCAAAGAAUACUGUGGAGCUUGCUUGGGUUUUUUCCUGAUCCAUUUCUCCCGUGUUGCAUUAUUUCCUGUCAAAGUUUUUGUCCUAGGGGGGAAGUACUCUUUAAAAAUAUCUUUUAAAAUAUCUAAGUCUUUGAGGGUGUUACUGAGCAGCAUCUGGAUUUAUUUGUUUGGUAAUCUGCUGAAGUGCUUUGUGAAGCUAAGACUGAGUCACAUGUGAUUUAUAAUGACCAACUUUGUCAGACUGGAGAAGUAUGAAUCCUUGGGUAAAUCAAGCAGUGCUGUCUGAAUUUGGUGCUAUGAAAUCCUAAUGUUAAAAAAAAAAGGCCUGGUGAGUAAUGAGCGCUCUAUAAAACACAAAAAGGGAAUUGCAGAAAGACUUUGACUAACGCUGGAGUAACACAGCUAUCAGUAUUGAGCAAAUCAGAAAAAAACCUGGUACAGCUCACUUCCUUUUGAUCUGGGAGAUCUCAGACUCGGUGCUGGGAGAACAAAUGCAGCCAUACCCUUGUUGUGAAAACGUUGCCCCAUAGCCCCGGGCUAAGGACAGCUUUUGCUAACAACCCAGUGAGAUUUGGCUGAUGUGCAUUGCUCAUAGGAGCAAUACAGCAAAUCAAGCCUAAACAUUUCUAGUGGUUUCCUCGUGUUUUGCCACUGAAUGCUUCCACAGUUUUCAGAUGUAAUGUUUGAUUUUUCCCAAUGAACAACAAAGAUAUUAGUAUUAAACAAAAUAGAAAUAAAAAGGCAGAAACUGACCAAAGCAAACUAAUAUGUGAAGUCCAUCUUUUACUUUGUUUUCUAUUACCUUGUUAGAAACUGAGUUAGCUUCUUAAAAGGUCUGUUCAGAGCAGCUAAGCCUCUUGGAAAGUCCAUGUCUGGUUGUGGCACGAGAGCAAAAUAUUUACUAAAUCUCUCACAUCGAUGAAGGCUUUUCUGGGACACUAAUAGUUGUCUGGAUGAACAAACAAAAAGUUUGGUGGCUUAGAAGGAAUCCGGGUCCUGCCCACUUCUCAGCUGUUGAUUUUCACCACUGGAUAUCUUAGCCUGAGAACUGAAAGCUACAGGUGUGCAGUGUGUUUUCUGUUACCUGAGAGACUGCUAUACUCAGCAGAUGUUAAACUCUUAUAUGGGCUGAGGAGGACGAGGCUGCAUCUGACUAAGCCAGAAUGAUAGCGCUAAAAUGUUAUCAGUGAGAGAUGACACAAGAGCUGCAAAGUGCAGCUGAAGGGAUUGGAGCUGCCCCUGUGCUUUUUCUCCAGGGACGGGGCAGCCUCACUUCUCUGAGCAACCUGUGCCAGGGCUUCACCACGGCCACAAGGACCACUUUCCUUGACCCUGC